rnacentral:rRNA from 1 species
UGAAAUCCCUUCGGGAGUGUAAACUCCUUUCGAUAGGGAAGAUAAUGACGGUACCUAUAGAAGAAGCCCCGGCUAACUUCGUGC